rnacentral:rRNA from 1 species
UACGUAGGGACCGAGCGUUGUCCGGAAUCAUUGGGCGUAAAGAGCGUGUAGGCGGCUAUUUAAGUCCUGCGUGAAAUCCUGCGGCUCAACCGCAGACGGUCGUGGGAAACUGGAUGGCUAGAGUGCGGGAGAGGAGAGUGGAAAUUCCCGGUGUAGCGGUGAAAUGCGCAGAUAGUCGGGAAGAACACCCGUGGCGAAGGCGGCUCUCUGGAACGCAACUGACGCUGAGACGCGAAAGCGUGGGGAG